UCGUGUCGUGAGAUGUUGGGUUAAGUCCCGCAACGAGCGCAACCCUCACCUCUUGUUGCCAUCAGGUCAUGCUGGGCACUCUAGAGGAACUGCCCCGGUCAACGGGGAGGAAGGCGGGGAUGACGUCAAGUCAUCAUGCCCCUUACGUCCUGGGCUACACACGUGCUACAAUGGCCGGUACGAAGGGAUGCCACACCGCGAAGUAGAGCUAAACCCAAAAAGCCGGUCUAAGUUCAGAUUGGAGUCUGCAACUCGACUCCAUGAAGGAGGAAUCGCUAGUAAUCGC
rnacentral:rRNA from 1 species